GACGAACCGUGCGAACGUUGUUCGGAAUCACUGGGCUUAAAGGGCGCGUAGGCGGGCUGCCGCGUCCGGGGUGAAAUCCCUCGGCUUAACCGGGGAACUGCGUCUGAUACUGGAUGGCUAGAGUUUGGGAGAGGGAUGCGGAAUUCCAGGUGUAGCGGUGAAAUGCGUAGAUAUCUGGAGGAACACCGGUGGCGAAGGCGGCAUCCUGGACCAACACUGACGCUGAGGAGCGAAAGCCAGGGGAGCAAACGGG
rnacentral:rRNA from 1 species